rnacentral:rRNA from 1 species
GUACGGGGGAGCAGCGUUGUUCGGAUUUACUGGGCGUAAAGGCGCGUGAGGUACGGCCACUGCGAAGUCGGUUGGUGAAAGCUCUACCGGGCUUAACCCGGAAAGGGUCAAUUCCGAUACUGCGAGGGCUAGAGUGGCAGAAGGGGCAAGCUGGAAGUUCUCGGUGGUAGGCCGGGUAGAAAAUGCGGUAGGAUAAUGCGGAGGAACACCGAUGGGACGAAGGCAAUCCCCUGGGCCUGCAGUGACGCUCAUGCACGAA